CGCAAGCCUGACGGAGCAACGCCGCGUGAGGGAUGAAGGCCUUUGGGCUGUAAACCUCUUUUCUCAAGGAAGAAGACCUGACGGUACUUGAGGAAUAAGCCACGGCUAAUUCCGUGCCAGCAGCCGCGGUAAUACGGGAGUGGCAAGCGUUAUCCGGAAUUAUUGGGCGUAAAGCGUCCGCAGGCGGCCGUUUAAGUCUGUUGUUAAAUCGUGGAGCUCAACUCCAUCACGGCAAUGGAAACUGUUCGGCUUGAGUAUGGUAGGGGCAGAGGGAGUUUCCGGUGUAGCGGUGAAAUGCGUAGAUAUCGGGAAGAACACCAGUGGCAAAAGCGCUCUGCUGGGCCAUUACUGACGCUCAUGGACGAAAGCCAGGGGAGCGAAAGGGAUUAGAUACCCCUGUAGUCCUGGCCGUAAACGAUGAACACUAGAUGUUGGGGGAAUCGACCCCUCCGGUGUCGUAGCUAACGCGUUAAGUGUUCCGCCUGGGGAGUACGCACGCAAGUGUGAAACUCAAAGGAAUUGACGGGGGCCCGCACAAGCGGUGGAGUAUGUGGUUUAAUUCGAUGCAACGCGAAGAACCUUACCAAGGCUUGACAUCCUGCGAAUCUCCAAGAAAUUGGAGAGUGCCUUCGGGAACGCAGUGACAGGUGGUGCAUGGCUGUCGUCAGCUCGUGUCGUGAGAUGUUGGGUUAAGUCCCGCAACGAGCGCAACCCACGUUUUUAGUUGCCAGCAUUCAGUUGGGCACUCUAGAAAGACUGCCGGUGACAAACCGGAGGAAGGUGUGGACGACGUCAAGUCAUCAUGCCCCUUACGCCUUGGGCUACACACGUACUACAAUGCUGCGGACAAAGAGUAGCGAUCUUGCAAAAGUUAGCUAAUCUCGUAAACCGUGGCUCAGUUCAGAUCGUAGGCUGCAACUCGCCUACGUGAAGGAGGAAUCGCUAGUAAUCGCAGGUCAGCAUACUGCGGUGAAUACGUUCCCGGGCCUUGUACACACCGCCCGUCACACCAUGGAAGUUGGCCAUGCCCGAAGUCGUUACUCUAACCUUUUGGAAGAGGGCGCCGAAGGCAGGGCUAAUGACUGGGGUGAAGUCGUAACAAGGUAGCCGUAGCGGAAGCUGCGGCUGGAUCACCUCCUAA
rnacentral:rRNA from 1 species